GGGCUACAAAUUCCUAGUGGGGUUUUCUUUUUUCUCUUUGUUCCUCCCCAUUUUUUCUUUUUGCAAUCCUAAAAAACUCCCAUGAAAUUGCAGAAAAUUAAGUUGAGAGAGAGAGAGAAAAAAAAAAGGAAAAGUGAGACAGAAAGGGGUUGUUAGGUGAGAACUUAAAGAGGAGGCUUGUGCAUGAGGAAUCAGAGGUUUUGAUGAAACCACUACUCAACUCUACUCUACUCUUCCACCUGCCCUCAAUUCGCAGUUUUUCAUGGCGGUUUUUUGCCACUACCCUCUCUCUCUCCCCCUCUCUAUCUCUCUCAUUCUUUCAUCAGGGGGAUACGACGCGAAUAUAAGAAGAACACACUCGUAGGCUGACGACACUGAAAUGUUCACCAUCCUACGUGUUAUGACAGACUUACCCUUGGCUAAUUAACUAGCUUCAGCUAAUCAGCUCGGCCCUUUGCUUAAUUCUUUUUCAAUUAAAUCUCGUUUGGCCUUUCGGAAUUUUUAAUAAAUA
rnacentral:lncRNA from 1 species